CCCAUUCGGAUCCACCAACAACUGGAUGCCUCUGACAGUUGAGAACCGACUCCGCACCCGACUCAACCUCAGAGUCUCCGUCCGAUUCUCCGUCUCCCCGUCGAAAUGUCGGCCGUUCGAAAGUGAAAACGACCGACUUGGCCUGCACAUAUGUACUAUUUCGGUUCAAAUGCAAUCGAUAAGCACAAAUUGGGGGCAGACACUGGCAUUGAUUCGAUCUAAGGCAAUAACACACUGAAGUGAAACUGAAAGGGAAACAACGGAUGCGGAAACGGAAAUUGAAACAAACACACGGAUUGUUGGGCAGGUCUCGGGUGCAAUAGAAAAACGAUAAACAAAAGACACAAGUUGCAGGUUUUGCUUUCCAUUUUUAAUUGGUUACUGUUACUAUAAUGCCUACGGCUAGAUAUAUUGUUAUUGGAAAGAAGAGAACAUAACACUUGCUUUACAAAAUAUAUAUAUGUAUAUGUAUAGAGAUA